UGAAUCUAGUUUACAAUGGUAUAGGU
rnacentral:piRNA from 1 species